GCCCGGUUAGCUCAAUCGGUAGAGCGUGAGACUCUUAAUCUCAAGGUUGCGGGUAAGUUCUUACAUGCGUAUCUCCCACCAAAAUACACCUAGCUAACAUUCCGUCUCAUAGGUUCGACCCCCGCAUCGGGCU